AACGAACGCUGGCGGCAUGCCUAACACAUGCAAGUCGAACGAAGCCUUCGGGCUUAGUGGCGCACGGGUGCGUAACACGUGGGAAUCUGCCCUUCGGUUCGGAAUAACAGUUAGAAAUGACUGCUAAUACCGGAUGAUGACGAAAGUCUAAAGAUUUAUCGCCGAAGGAUGAGCCCGCGUAGGAUUAGGUAGUUGGUAGGGUAAUGGCCUACCAAGCCGACGAUCCUUAGCUGGUCUGAGAGGAUGAUCAGCCACACUGGGACUGAGACACGGCCCAGACUCCUACGGGAGGCAGCAGUGGGGAAUAUUGGACAAUGGCGAAAGCCUGAUCCAGCAAUGCCGCGUGAGUGAUGAAGGCCUUAGGGUUGUAAAGCUCUUUUACCAGGGAUGAUAAUGACAGUACCUGGAGAUAAGCUCCGGCUAACUCCGUAGCCAGCAGCCGCGGUAAAGUCUGUACU
rnacentral:rRNA from 1 species